rnacentral:rRNA from 1 species
GUGUCAGCCGCCGCGGUAAUACGGAGGGUGCGAGCGUUAAUCGGAAUUACUGGGCGUAAGGCGCGCGUAGGCGGCGUGAUAAGCCGGUUGUGAAAGCCCCGGGCUCAACCUGGGAACGGCAUCCGGAACUGUCAGGCUAGAGUGCAGGAGAGGAAGGUAGAAUUCCCGGUGUAGCGGUGAAAUGCGUAGAGAUCGGGAGGAAUACCAGUGGCGAAGGCGGCCUUCUGGACUGACACUGACGCUGAGGUGCGAAAGCGUGGGUAGCAAACAGGAUUAGAAACCCGUGUAGUCC